UGACUGGUGUACAACAUGACAACAGUAAUCAACAUGACAACAGUAAUCCUGGUGUACAACAUGACAACAGUAAUCCUGGUGUACAACAUGACAACAGUAAUGAGAAUUCCCUCAGUGGAACAGCAGAAGUCUUAAGUAAUCCAGAAACAUGUAAUAGGGAACAUCAGCGGCGCCAGAUGGAAACCUUGGAACAAAGACGAAGACAG